AACCUAGCACACCUGCGGUGUGUACCUGCGGAGGGAUCAUCAUUGAAUCCAUUUCUACUCACCCUUGUGAACUGUAUGUGAACCAGGUAUUUUGGCAAGGCAGCGUUUAAUGAGGCCGGGUGUACGCAUCCCGCCUCGCUAGGCGCGCACCAGGGCUCUGUGCCUUGGUACCUUGCCAAAUGCCUAUUUUAAAAUAACGCGUAAACACUAUUUAUCAGAAAAUUCUUUUAAAAUUAAAAA
rnacentral:misc_RNA from 1 species